AUCCUGGUAAAACAUGAAAUGUCUUUAUCCCAGUGUGAAGAAGAGAAAGUAAUUCCUGUGGGUAUUGAGAAGAUAACUGUUCGAUUCCCUCCAGUUAACCAAACCACAUAUGAAAAAUUUCUGUUUUGUGAAUGGAAAUUCGUUGCCG